GACGAACGCUGGCGGCGUGCUUAACACAUGCAAGUCGAACGGAAAGGCCCUGCUUUCGUGGGGUGCUCGAGUGGCGAACGGGUGAGUAACACGUGAGUAACCUGCCCUUGACUUUGGGAUAACUUCAGGAAACUGGGGCUAAUCCCGUAUAGGAGCUCCUGCUGCAUGGUGGGGGUUGGAAAGUUUCGGCGGUUGGGGAUGGACUCGCGGCUUAUCAGCUUGUUGGUGGGGUAGUGGCUUACCAAGGCUUUGACGGGUAGCCGGCCUGAGAGGGUGACCGGCCACAUUGGGCCUGGGAUACGGCCCAGACGCCAACGGGAGGCAGCGGGGGGGAAUAUUGCACAAUGGGAGGAAGCCUGUUGCAGCAACGCCGGGUGCGGGAUGACGGCUUUCGGGUUGAAAACCGCUUUCGCCUGUGACGAAGCGUUUGUGACGGUAAUGGGUAAAGAAGCACCGGCUAACUACGUG
rnacentral:rRNA from 1 species